rnacentral:rRNA from 1 species
GGGGAAUAUUGGACAAUGGGCGCAAGCCUGAUCCAGCCAUGCCGCGUGGGUGAAGAAGGCCUUCGGGUUGUAAAGCCCUUUUGUUGGGAAAGAAAAGCAGCCGGCCAAUACCCGGUUGUUCUGACGGUACCCAAAGAAUAAGCACCGGCUAACUUCGUGCCAGCAGCCGCGGUAAUACGAAGGGUGCAAGCGUUACUCGGAAUUACUGGCGUAAAGCGUGCGUAGGUGGUGGUUUAAGUCCGUUGUGAAAGCCCUGGGCUCAACCUGGGAACUGCAGUGGAUACUGGAUCACUAGAGUGUGGCAGAGGGUAGUGGAAUUCCCGGUGUAGCAGUGAAAUGCGUAGAGAUCGGGAGGAACAUCAGUGGCGAAGGCAGGUUACCAAGAUAUAACUGACGCUGAGGGACGAAAGCGUGGGGAGCGAACA